AUUGAACGCUGGCGGCAUGCUUUACACAUGCAAGUCGAACGGCAGCGCGGGCUUCGGCCUGGCGGCGAGUGGCGAACGGGUGAGUAAUACAUCGGAACGUGCCCAGUAGUGGGGGAUAGCUCGGCGAAAGCCGGAUUAAUACCGCAUACGACCUGAGGGUGAAAGCGGGGGAUCUUCGGACCUCGCGCUAUUGCAGCGGCCGAUGGCAGAUUAGCUAGUUGGUGGGGUAAAGGCCUACCAAGGCGACGAUCUGUAGCUGGUCUGAGAGGAAGACCAGCCACACUGGGACUGAGACACGGCCCAGAGUCCUGCGGGAGGCAGCAGUGGGGAAUUUUGGACAAUGGGCGAAAGCCUGGUCCAGCAAUGCCGCGUGUGUGAUGAAGGCCUUCGGGUUGGAAAGCACUUUUGGCGGGAACGAAAAGGACUGUGCCAAUACCACGAUGCGAUGACGGUACCCGCAGAAUAAGCACCGGCUAACUACGUG
rnacentral:rRNA from 1 species